rnacentral:rRNA from 1 species
UACGUAGGGGGCAAGCGUUGUUCGGAUUUACUGGGCGUAAAGGGCGCGUAGGCGGCGUGACAAGUCACUUGUGAAAUCUCCGGGCUUAACUCGGAACGGCCAAGUGAUACUGUCGUGCUAGUGUACAGAAGGGGCAAUCGGAAUUCUUGGUGUAGCGGUGAAAUGCGUAGAUAUCAAGAGGAACACCUGAGGUGAAGACGGGUUGCUGGGCUGAUACUGACGCUGAGGCGCGAAAGCUAGGGUAGCAAACGGG